AUAGCAUAUCAGAAGGCACACCCGGAGAACUGAAACAUCUUAGUACCCGGAGGAAGAAAAAGAAAAUUCGAUUCCCUUAGUAGCGGCGAGCGAAACGGGAAGAGCCCAAACCAACAAGCUUGCUUGUUGGGGUUGUAGGACACUCUAUACGGAGUUACAAAGGACGACAUUAGACGAAUCAUCUGGAAAGAUGAAUCAAAGAAGGUAAUAAUCCUGUAGUCGAAAAUGUUGUCUCUCUUGAGUGGAUCCUGAGUACGACGGAGCACGUGAAAUUCCGUCGGAAUCUGGGAGGACCAUCUCCUAAGGCUAAAUACUCUCUAGUGACCGAUAGUGAACCAGUACCGUGAGGGAAAGGUGAAAAGCACCCCGGAAGGGGAGUGAAAUAGAACCUGAAACCGUGUGCUUACAAGUAGUCAGAGCCCGUUAAUGGGUGAUGGCGUGCCUUUUGUAGAAUGAACCGGCGAGUUACGAUUUGAUGCAAGGUUAAGCAGUAAAUGUGGAGCCGUAGCGAAAGCGAGUCUGAAUAGGGCGUUUAGUAUUUGGUCGUAGACCCGAAACCAGGUGAUCUACCCUUGGUCAGGUUGAAGUUCAGGUAACACUGAAUGGAGGACCGAACCGACUUACGUUGAAAAGUGAGCGGAUGAACUGAGGGUAGCGGAGAAAUUCCAAUCGAACCUGGAGAUAGCUGGUUCUCUCCGAAAUAGCUUUAGGGCUAGCCUCAAGUGAUGAUUAUUGGAGGUAGAGCACUGUUUGGACGAGGGGCCCCUCUCGGGUUACCGAAUUCAGACAAACUCCGAAUGCCAAUUAAUUUAACUUGGGAGUCAGAACAUGGGUGAUAAGGUCCGUGUUCGAAAGGGAAACAGCCCAGACCACCAGCUAAGGUCCCAAAAUAUAUGUUAAGUGGAAAAGGAUGUGGCGUUGCCCAGACAACUAGGAUGUUGGCUUAGAAGCAGCCAUCAUUUAAAGAGUGCGUAAUAGCUCACUAGUCGAGUGACACUGCGCCGAAAAUGUACCGGGGCUAAACAUAUUACCGAAGCUGUGGAUUGUCCUUUGGACAAUGGUAGGAGAGCGUUCUAAGGGCGUUGAAGCAUGAUCGUAAGGACAUGUGGAGCGCUUAGAAGUGAGAAUGCCGGUGUGAGUAGCGAAAGACGGGUGAGAAUCCCGUCCACCGAUUGACUAAGGUUUCCAGAGGAAGGCUCGUCCGCUCUGGGUUAGUCGGGUCCUAAGCUGAGGCCGACAGGCGUAGGCGAUGGAUAACAGGUUGAUAUUCCUGUACCACCUAUAAUCGUUUUAAUCGAUGGGGGGACGCAGUAGGAUAGGCGAAGCGUGCGAUUGGAUUGCACGUCUAAGCAGUAAGGCUGAGUAUUAGGCAAAUCCGGUACUCGUUAAGGCUGAGCUGUGAUGGGGAGAAGACAUUGUGUCUUCGAGUCGUUGAUUUCACACUGCCGAGAAAAGCCUCUAGAUAGAAAAUAGGUGCCCGUACCGCAAACCGACACAGGUAGUCAAGAUGAGAAUUCUAAGGUGAGCGAGCGAACUCUCGUUAAGGAACUCGGCAAAAUGACCCCGUAACUUCGGGAGAAGGGGUGCUCUUUAGGGUUAACGCCCAGAAGAGCCGCAGUGAAUAGGCCCAAGCGACUGUUUAUCAAAAACACAGGUCUCUGCUAAACCGUAAGGUGAUGUAUAGGGGCUGACGCCUGCCCGGUGCUGGAAGGUUAAGAGGAGUGGUUAGCUUCUGCGAAGCUACGAAUCGAAGCCCCAGUAAACGGCGGCCGUAACUAUAACGGUCCUAAGGUAGCGAAAUUCCUUGUCGGGUAAGUUCCGACCCGCACGAAAGGCGUAACGAUUUGGGCACUGUCUCAACGAGAGACUCGGUGAAAUCAUAGUACCUGUGAAGAUGCAGGUUACCCGCGACAGGACGGAAAGACCCCGUGGAGCUUUACUGUAGCCUGAUAUUGAAAUUCGGCACAGCUUGUACAGGAUAGGUAGGAGCCUUUGAAACGUGAGCGCUAGCUUACGUGGAGGCGCUGGUGGGAUACUACCCUAGCUGUGUUGGCUUUCUAACCCGCACCACUUAUCGUGGUGGGAGACAGUGUCAGGCGGGCAGUUUGACUGGGGCGGUCGCCUCCUAAAAGGUAACGGAGGCGCUCAAAGGUUCCCUCAGAAUGGUUGGAAAUCAUUCAUAGAGUGUAAAGGCAUAAGGGAGCUUGACUGCGAGACCUACAAGUCGAGCAGGGUCGAAAGACGGACUUAGUGAUCCGGUGGUUCCGCAUGGAAGGGCCAUCGCUCAACGGAUAAAAGCUACCCCGGGGAUAACAGGCUUAUCUCCCCCAAGAGUUCACAUCGACGGGGAGGUUUGGCACCUCGAUGUCGGCUCAUCGCAUCCUGGGGCUGUAGUCGGUCCCAAGGGUUGGGCUGUUCGCCCAUUAAAGCGGUACGCGAGCUGGGUUCAGAACGUCGUGAGACAGUUCGGUCCCUAUCCGUCGUGGGCGUAGGAAAUUUGAGAGGAGCUGUCCUUAGUACGAGAGGACCGGGAUGGACAUACCUCUGGUGUACCAGUUGUCGUGCCAACGGCAUAGCUGGGUAGCUAUGUGUGGACGGGAUAAGUGCUGAAAGCAUCUAAGCAUGAAGCCCCCCUCAAGAUGAGAUUUCCCAACUUCGGUUAUAAGAUCCCUCAAAGAUGAUGAGGUUAAUAGGUUCGAGGUGGAAGCAUGGUGACAUGUGGAGCUGACGAAUACUAAUCGAUCGAAGACUUAAUCAA
rnacentral:rRNA from 1 species